UACGAAGGGAGCUAGCGUUGUUCGGAAUCACUGGGCGUAAAGCGCACGUAGGCGGAUGUGUCAGUCAGGGGUGAAAUCCCGGAGCUCAACUUCGGAACUGCCCUUGAUACAGCACGUCUUGAGUCCGGAAGAGGUGGGUGGAAUUCCUAGUGUAGAGGUGAAAUUCGUAGAUAUUAGGAAGAACACCGGUGGCGAAGGCGGCCCACUGGAUCGGUACUGACGCUGAGGUGCGAAAGCGUGGGGAGCAAACAGG
rnacentral:rRNA from 1 species